CACAGGCCAUGAUGAUAAUUUUUUUUUUUGCCUCACCGUAUAGAAGCUUUAUUGAAUGUCAUUUAUUAUCAGUGGCACAGUUCUCAUUUAUUCAGAUGGAAAUGGUUUUCAUCUAAAAAUGAUCUGAUUACAUCUUUUGAUGCAACAUGGUGCGUGAAGUGCACUACAUGAACAAGAAGGUGCCUUCUUAAUAACGGCUAAGUAUUAUAUGAUCUGCCCUCAGGAAAUUAAAAAAAAAAAAAAAAAUGCAGUGUUCUUCUUAGGCUUCACUUAAUUUUAAGAUUCUCUGGCUUUGCUGUUUUGGUCACGUGAUGUAUGGGUGGCUUUGCUGUGCUCCUGUUUCAUAAUCAUCUUUUUUCCACAAUUAGUGGGGUGAGCUUAUGUCAAAGUUGAUUCAUCUGCCACUCUGGUUAGGAACCACGGCUGACUCAUUUGGGAGAGAAGCCCUGGGCCUCCCAGAGUGAACUGUUUGUCUGUCAGAGCUGGGGUGGCAGAAACCUUGUGCCUCAAACUCUCGUCUCGGGGCUUGGUGAAACUUUGAAGAAAGCUGAACUUUAAUUGCGGAGGGGGCAGCGGCGGCGCGAGGCCUCGACCGUUGGGCGCCUUCGCCUCAGGGCGGCGCUGCCGGCGCCAUUUUCUGGCGGCACGGCCUGUGUGCCUAACGGUCGGCGGGGCGAGGGGGGCGUCUGUCAGUCAGCUGAGGCCGGUGAGCCACGAGUAAAGUGGUCACACCAGUGUGGGGAUGAUGAAAAUAAGAUCUUGAAAUUUAUAGAGAGGGACGGAGUAGACGGUCCUGGCUGGAAAGAGACAUGAACUGACGGAAAGAGCAGCAUGUUCACGAGGAGUGUUAGUCCUCACACCUGGACCAUGAUGAGAGUGGCAACAGGGUACCUCUGGGUUGUUGUCUCCUUGAAAGAAUAAAGCAAGUGACCCAGUACAAAAUGUUGGGAUAUGGCACACAACAGGUGCAUGUUUAUACAGAUAAUGCUCCUGAGGGAUGAUCAAGAAAGGGGGCAAGAGACAUGACCGAUAUGAGGACUCCAGAGGGAGAAGCAGCUGCUGGGGAAGACUCAAACAAGGCUAUAAAGCAUGCCCUGGUGUUGUUAACACCGUGUUUUGCUGCUGAGAAAAUGGAGCUACUUCUCCAUUUCAUGUGCUAUGGGAGGACAGGUGCUGGUGGAGCUGGCUGCAGAGUGGGCUGAUCCUGAACUCUUUCCUACAGAGUGCUUGUGCCUGGAGGAGUGUGAAGGUAUAUGGCAGUUUUCAUCCCCUACAUCUUAGAAAUAUUUGCAGACAUGAGUUACGAAACUUCACAAUGCCCGCAGAGGACUUAGAACACAAAGUGAAAGAUCAGCUGCUGUGGACAGCAGAGUUAGAAUGCAUGACACUUCAAGGAUGGACAUUCAGCAGUAUCCAUCUUUGAAAGGAGUAUUACCAGCAUGCCAAGUGAGAGAAGGCAUCGAGAGCCUUGCAGGAACAGCUUCACAAGGGAGGAAAAGCCAAUAAUGCAAAGUAUGAUUGCUAUGAGGACUUUGAAGGACCAAGAGAUCAUUUGCAGACUUGACAGACAUCCAAUGGUCAGAACCAUUUCUCAGAGUGAGAGCCUGAAAGAGAGAAGACCACCAGACAAGAUAGGACUCAGUACAUUUGAGAAAGAUUGCUGAUUAUACAGAAGGAGGAAGCACUGUGGGAAGAUUUGAAUUUGAAGAAAAAUAUGACUGUGGAAGAGAUCAUGCAUGUGCAGAGGCCAGCAGUAAGGCAAAAAGCUGAGGAUAUCACCAGGGAAGACUAGAUCUUCUGUAAAGCUUUGUGGAAGAUAGAUGCGUGUGCUGCAAUGGUGACAUAAAUAUUUAAGAGGAUUGGAACAAGUUGCUGAGAAUCUGUUUGUUUUUAAUGCUUGGAACAAUCUAAGGCAAGUAAACAACAUGAGUUUUAUCAUGAAACUUCACAGACAUUUUCAAAGAACGGUUAUUUUGCUGGCCACUUUUUGUAUGGUGAGCAUUGUUAUUUCUGCAUACUACUUGUAUAAUGGCUACAAACAGGAAAAUGAACUUCCUGAAAUCUCUUCAGAAGUGGAAUGUGGUGAUCUUCAACUGUUGCCAUACAAGCUGAUGGAGAUGAAGACCAUGAAGCCUAUCGAUCCCCUGAGAACAGAUCUUGUAGUGCUGGUGUUUGUGGAAAGUCAAUAUUCAACGUUAGGCCAAGAUAUAAUAACCAUUUUAGAAUCCAGCAGAUUUCAGUACCAUAUCGAGAUUGCAUCUGGUAAAGGUGACCUCCCAGUGCUUAUAGACAAAAAUAAGGGCAAAUAUGCUCUCAUAGUAUAUGAAAAUAUUUUAAAAUAUGUGAAUAUGGACUCUUGGAACAGAGGUCUUCUAGAUAAGUACUGUAUGGAAUAUAGUGUAGGUGUUAUUGGAUUUCAUAAAGGCAAUGAGAACAGCUUGCAGAAUUUCCAGCUGAAGGGCUUUCCUUUCCAUGUCCACAGCAAUCUGGGUAUUAAGGACUGUUGCAUUAACCCUCAUUCCCCAUUGCUCCAUGUGACUAAAUCCUCCAAGCUUGAGAAAGGUCCCUUGCUUGGAAAUGACUGGGCAGUUUUCCAGAUUAAUCAUACUGCUUACCAACCAGUGAUAUUUGCAAAAGUAAAGACACCAGAAAACCUUUCACCACCUGCUGCUAAAAGUGCUCUCCAUGCCACAGUAAUUCAUGACCUGGGACUCCACGAUGGGAUUCAACGAGUCCUUUUUGGCAAUAACUUGAAUUUUUGGCUGCACAAACUGAUUUUCAUAGAUGCCAUCUCUUUCCUGUCUGGAAAGAAGCUCAGACUAUCCUUGGAUAGGUACAUUCUGGUUGACAUAGAUGACAUCUUCGUUGGGAAGGAGGGAACAAGAAUGAACGCCAACGAUGUACAGGCCCUACUUGACACUCAGAAUCUUUUGAGAGCUCAGAUUACAAAUUUUACUUUCAACCUGGGAUUUUCAGGGAAAUUCUAUCACACAGGCACUGAGGAGGAAGAUGAAGGUGAUGACCUGUUGUUGAGGUCUGUGGAUGAGUUUUGGUGGUUUCCCCAUAUGUGGAGUCACAUGCAGCCUCAUCUUUUCCACAAUGAAUCAUCACUGGUAGAGCAGAUGAUCCUCAACAAAAAAUUUGCCUUAGAACAUGCUAUUCCAACUGACAUGGGCUAUGCAGUGGCUCCACACCAUUCUGGAGUCUAUCCAGUGCAUGUUCAACUUUAUGAUGCCUGGAAAAAGGUCUGGAAUAUCAGAGUUACCAGCACAGAAGAAUACCCUCAUCUGAAGCCUGCAAGGUAUAGAAGAGGCUUCAUCCACAAAAAUAUCAUGGUGCUUCCUAGGCAAACUUGUGGCUUAUUCACCCACACUAUUUUCUAUAAAGAAUAUCCUGGAGGCCCAAAGGAACUAGACAAAAGUAUUCAAGGUGGGGAAUUGUUCUUCACAGUGGUUCUCAAUCCAAUUAGCAUCUUCAUGACACAUUUGUCUAAUUACGGCAACGAUCGCCUGGGGUUGUACACCUUUGUGAAUCUGGCCAACUUUGUUCAUACGUGGACAAACCUGAAACUGCAAACUCUUCCUCCGGUGCAGCUGGCUCACAAGUAUUUCAAACUAUUCCCUGAGCAAAAGGACCCUCUCUGGCAGAAUCCCUGUGAUGACAAACGGCACAGAGAUAUCUGGUCUAAAGAAAAAACUUGUGAUCGAUUACCAAAAUUCUUGGUUGUAGGACCACAGAAAACUGGUACCACAGCCUUGUAUUUGUUCCUGAUCAUGCAUCCUUCCAUCAUUAGUAACUCCCCCAGCCCAAAAACCUUUGAGGAGGUACAGUUCUUUAAUAGAAAUAACUACCACAGGGGGAUUGAUUGGUACAUGGAUUUCUUCCCUACUCCUUCCAAUGUCACCACUGACUUCCUCUUUGAGAAAAGUGCCAACUAUUUUCAUUCUGAGGAAGCUCCUAAACGAGCUGCUUCCCUCGUCCCCAAGGCCAAGAUCAUCACCAUCCUCAUUGACCCAUCUGACCGGGCAUAUUCCUGGUAUCAGCAUCAACGAUCACAUGAAGAUCCUGCAGCUCUAAAAUUCAGUUUCUAUCAAGUGAUCACAGCUGGACCUCGAGCCCCUUCUGAGCUUAGAGCUCUCCAAAAGAGAUGCCUAGCACCUGGAUGGUACGCUACACAUAUUGAAAGAUGGCUAACUUACUUCCCACCUUAUCAGUUGCUAAUUAUUGAUGGCCAGCAGCUAAGAACUGAUCCGUCUACCGUAAUGGAUGAAGUACAGAAAUUUCUGGGAGUCUCUCCUCAUUAUAAUUACUCUGAAGCCCUAACGUUUGAUUCACAUAAAGGUUUCUGGUGUCAGCUUCUGGAAGAAGGAAAAACCAAGUGUCUUGGAAAGAGCAAGGGUAGAAAAUACCCUCCGAUGGAUUUUGAGUGCAGGGCUUUUCUGUCAAGCUACUACAGAGAUCACAACGUGGAACUGUCAAAACUCCUACACAAAUUGGGACAACCUCUGCCAUCGUGGCUGAGACAGGAACUACAGAAAGAAGCUUUAAAAAGCAGAAUGACUUUUAAUGUGCAGUCAACUUGGUGAAGAAUGAAGUCUGAGCAAAGCAUGCAGACGAGCUACAUGUGUUACUCCCCAGAUAACAGGAUGCAUAUGAGUACAGUUGAGUUUGUUAGCAGCUUGACGCUGAGCUACAACACAACCCAGGAGUAUGGGAGCAGCAUGAAAUGUUUUCACAAAUGAAAAAUAUUGCUUACUCUCUCUUUCUUCCAACCCAAACCUCUCAGAGUUCUAAGGCAAAGGAUGCCCUUUUUUGUCUCUGUGGACCACAAGGAUGAAGAAUGAAGAAAGCAUAAUAGUCAGCAUCAAAGGACAAAGCACAGGAACAGGAAAGGAAUUAACAGGUGAAACCAAGGGCCAAGGAAACCUGAACAGAGGAGGAAUUUAGAAAAAUUAAGGGUGAUUGGUCUGAAAAGCGUAUUGUGAGUUUGAUUAUUCUCCAGUCUGCUUUCCGUCAAGUAACUUUUCUGUCUUUUUUAAUAGUUAUUUUCUUUCUUCAGUUCCCUUUUUCUGUUCUGAUCCUCUCAUUGUCUUGAGAAAUUGAGACAGAAAAGGCUUAUGUACUUUUAAUUGCUCAGCUAUCUACAUACCUAGGAGAGCUGUCAGUCUAGUAGUACAAGGCCACUACCAGAUCUCUUCCAAAAGGUAGGAGUCUUUCCUAACAGAUGUGGCCUAGUUCAACCAUGAUGUAGGGGCUUCCCAUAACCUUUGUUAUUCAGAUCAGGGAAACGGACUCUUACCCUUAAAGAAAUCUAUUAGUCUGUCUCCUCCAUUGUCUCAUCAAGAAUGUCUCUGCUAUUAAGUCUCCCGGUAAAGCUCCUUUAUUCAGCUCAAUUCUGAACCCAAUUUACUCUGGU